CCUACGGGGGGCAGCAGUGGGGAAUAUUGCACAAUGGGGGGAACCCUGAUGCAGCGACGCCGCGUGGGUGAGGAAGUACUUCGGUAUGUAAAGCCCUAUCAGCAGGGAAGAAAAUGACGGUACCUGACUAAGAAGCCCCGGCUAACUACGUGCCAGCAGCCGCGGUAAUACGGAGGGGGCAAGCGUUAUCCGGAUUUACUGGGUGUAAAGGGAGCGUAGACGGCGUGCCAAGUCUGAUGUGAAAGGCCGGGGCUCAACCCCGGGACUGCAUUGGAAACUGGCAUGCUGGAGUGCCGGAGGGGCAAGCGGAAUUCCUGGUGUAGCGGUGAAAUGCUUAGAUAUCGCGCAGAACCCCGAUUGCGAAGGCAGCGUACCGGCUCCACACUGACGCUGAGGCACGAAAGCGUGGGUAUCGAACAGGAUUAGAUACCCCGGUAGUC
rnacentral:rRNA from 1 species